AUGCUCUGGUUUCUCUUCAGAUCGUAUAAAUCUUUCGCCUUUUACUAAAGAUUUCUGUGGAGAGGAACAACCAAGAGUCUUAAUCGAAUUUUUUGAGGCCUUGCUAUUUGUGAGGCU